AACGCUGGCGGCAUGCCUAACACAUGCAAGUCGAACGAACCCUUCGGGGUUAGUGGCGCACGGGUGCGUAACGCGUGGGAACCUGCCUUUAGGUUCGGAAUAACUCAGAGAAAUUUGAGCUAAUACCGGAUAAUGUCUUCGGACCAAAGAUUUAUCGCCUUUAGAUGGGCCCGCGUUAGAUUAGAUAGUUGGUGGGGUAAUGGCCUACCAAGUCGAUGAUCUAUAGCUGGUCUGAGAGGAUGAUCAGCCACACUGGGACUGAGACACGGCCCAGACUCCUACGGGAGGCAGCAGUGGGGAAUAUUGGACAAUGGGCGAAAGCCUGAUCCAGCAAUGCCGCGUGAGUGAUGAAGGCCUUAGGGUUGUAAAGCUCUUUUACUAGGGAUGAUAAUGACAGUACCUAGAGAAUAAG
rnacentral:rRNA from 1 species